UACGUAGGGUGCAAGCGUUGUCCGGAAUCAUUGGGCGUAAAGCGCGUGUAGGCGGCCCGAUAAGUCCGCCGUGAAAGUCCAGGGCUCAACCCUGGGAUGCCGGUGGAAACUGUCGGGCUAGAGUCCGGAAGAGGCGAGUGGAAUUCCUGGUGUAGCGGUGAAAUGCGCAGAUAUCAGGAGGAACACCAAUGGCGAAGGCAGCUCGCUGGGACGUUACUGACGCUGAGACGCGAAAGCGUGGGGAGCAAACAGG
rnacentral:rRNA from 1 species